rnacentral:rRNA from 1 species
UACGUAGGGUGCGAGCGUUAAUCGGAAUUACUGGGCGUAAAGCGUGCGUAGGCGGUUCGUUAAGUCAGCUGUGAAAGCCCCGGGCUCAACCUGGGAAUUGCAUUCGAGACUGCGUAGCUAGGGUGCGGAAGAGGGAAGCGGAAUUUCCGGUGUAGCGGUGAAAUGCGUAGAUAUCGGAAGGAACACCAGUGGCGAAAGCGGCUUCCUGGGCCAGCACCGACGUUCAGGCACGAAAGCGUGGGGAGCAAACAGG